AUACGGAGGAUCCGAGCGUUAUCCGGAUUUAUUGGGUUUAAAGGGUGCGCAGGCGGCCAUUUAAGUCAGCGGUUAAAUCGUGGGGCUCAACCCCAUUCUGCCGUUGAUACUGGCUGUCUUGAGUACAGUAGAGGUGGGCGGAAUUCGUGGUGUAGCGGUGAAAUGCUUAGAUAUCACGAAGAACUCCGAUUGCGAAGGCAGCUCACUGGACUGCAACUGACACUGAUGCUCGAAAGUGUGGGUAUCAAACAGGAUUAGAUACCCUGGUAGUCCGCACAGUAAACGAUGAAUACUCGCUGUUUGCGAUACACUGUAAGCGGCCAAGCGAAAGCGUUAAGUAUUCCACCUGGGGAGUACGCCGGCAACGGAAAAACUCAAAGGAAUUGACGGGG
rnacentral:rRNA from 1 species